rnacentral:rRNA from 1 species
CGGGGUAGAGUAACGCGUGAGGAACCUGCCUCAAAGAAGGGGACAACAGUUGGAAACGACUGCUAAUACCGCAUAAGCCCACGGCUCGGCAUCGAGCAGAGGGAAAAGGAGCAAUCCGCUUUGAGAUGGCCUCGCGUCCGAUUAGCUAGUUGGUGAGGUAACGGCCCACCAAGGCGACGAUCGGUAGCCGGACUGAGAGGUUGAACGGCCACAUUGGGACUGAGACACGGCCCAG